rnacentral:rRNA from 1 species
UACGUAGGGUGCGAAGCGUUAAUCGGAAUUACUGGGCGUAAAGCGUGCGCAGGCGGUUUUGUAAGUCAGAUGUGAAAUCCCCGGGCUUAACCUGGGAACUGCGUUUGAAACUACAAGGCUAGAGUGUGACAGAGGGGGGUGGAAUUCCACGUGUAGCAGGUGAAAUGCGUAGAGAUGUGGAGGAACACCGAUGGCGAAGGCAGCCCCCUGGGUUAACACUGACGCUCAGGCACGAAAGCGUGGGGAGCAAACAGG